rnacentral:rRNA from 1 species
UGGGGAAUAUUGGACAAUGGGGGCAACCCUGAUCCAGCAAUGCCGCGUGUGUGAAGAAGGUCUUCGGAUUGUAAAGCACUUUCGACGGGGACGAUGAUGACGGUACCCGUAGAAGAAGCCCCGGCUAACUUCGUGCCAGCAGCCGCGGUAAUACGAAGGGGGCUAGCGUUGCUCGGAAUGACUGGGCGUAAAGGGCGUGUAGGCGGUUUACACAGUCAGAUGUGAAAAUCCCCGGGCUUAACCUGGGAGCUGCAUUUGAUACGUGUAGACUAGAGUGUGAGAGAGGGUUGUGGAAUUCCCAGUGUAGAGGUGAAAUUCGUAGAUAUUGGGAAGAACACCGGUGGCGAAGGCGGCAACCUGGCUCAUGACUGACGCUGAGGCGCGAAAGCGUGGGGAGCAAACAGGAUUAGAUACCCUGGUAGUCCACGCUGUAAAC